GACAGAGGUGCCAAGCGUUAGGCGGAAUCACUGGGCUUAAAGCGUGUGUAGGUGGAUGUCUAAGUACCUUGUGAAAUCCCAUGGCUCAACCAUGGAACUGCUCGGUAUACUGGAUGUCUUGAGCCACUUAGGGGCUACCGGAACAAAUGGAGGAGCGGUGAAAUGCGUAGAUAUCAUUUGGAACGCCAAUGGUGAAAACAGGUAGCUGGGAGUGUGCUGACACUGAGACACGAAAGCCAGGGGAGCGAACGGG
rnacentral:rRNA from 1 species